UGCGUAGGCGGCUCAGAAAGUAGGGUGUGAAAGCCCUCGGCUCAACCGAGGAAUUGCGCUCUAAACUACUGGGCUAGAGGAACGCAGAGGUAAGCGGAACUUAGGGUGGAGCGGUGAAAUGCGUUGAUAUCCUAAGGAACACCAGGAGCGAAAGCGGCUUACUGGGCGUUUUCUGACGCUGAUGCACGAAAGCUAGGGGAGCGAACGGGAUUAGAUACCCCAGUAGUCCUAGCCGUAAACGAUGAGCACUGGAUUGGAGGCCCCCCCAUAGGCUUCUAGUCGUAGCGAAAGUGUUAAGUGCUCCGCCUGGGGAGUAUGGUCGCAAGGCUGAA
rnacentral:rRNA from 1 species